GGAUGCAAUUGCGUUAUUAUUAAUUCUGACAACAUGGAAGUAAUUGAUACGAUGAAGAACGGAGGUCAUUUUGCAGGACUGGCAGCAUCAAUUUUCGAGGAUUGUUUUUUUCUGGCUUGUGAUUUCUCUGUUACCAGUUUUGAGCAUUGUAGUAGAGAAGUGAACAAAGUAGCCUAUGAGCUCGUUAGAGUAGCCAAAUGUUUCAUGACUAGCGAUUGGAUUGAGAAGCCCAUGAAAAAUAUUGUAUCUCUUCUGACAGACGAUGUAAUUGAUCCUAAAAAAAGACAGACGAUAUAA
rnacentral:rRNA from 1 species